rnacentral:lncRNA from 1 species
CUUAUACAUGGCAUCCUUAGAGAUGAUAAUGCAUGAUCUUCUUUUGACUUUUCAACUAGGUAUUUGACAAAUGUGAAAAGUACAGUGUUGAUGUUCAUCAGCUCUCAUUAGCUUGCAAAUAUUUGUUGUAUUUAAUUCAGAAAAAUUUGAAUUGGGUUUUAUCACUUGCUAGGAUUAUCUUCAGUUCCCAGUUAUCUUCAGCUUAUGCAUAUUACACUAAAAAUGUACAGAUGAGUCUUUCAACUCAUUCCCCUCAUAGAAAACAGUGCAUUGAUCAAACUUUCAGACAUGAGGUAGAAAUUUGUUUUCAGUGUGUUUUUUAAGACUGGAUUUUUUUCACCAAAACUGGACAAAUGUCUUAAAAAACAUUUUAAGAAGACAUGUUGGAAUAAAGAUUAUAUUGAUAUGUAAUAUAUAGUUUCCCUGGAUGCCCAAUGUAUUAUAUUUUCUAAGGAACUUGUUUUGUUGAUCAGAUCAGUUAAAAGAAGUAACUCUGAAAGGGAUAUGAGGUGGCUAUAAAUAUUUUGAAUUCUGCUGUA